GGGAUUGGUAAGUGGGGGUGGCCUUAUGGCCAGUGAUCCUCUAUGGGGGCUCAUUAGUCUGGGUUGUCCGCCCUCCAAGAGCGCCAUAAUUCCCAUGUACUCAGGAAGCGUUGUGGGUACGGGUGUGUCGUAACGAAGUGUGUUUCAUAGAGUAGUUGUUUGUCUAUUUCUUGUAUAAGGGGUAGGAUGUUGGGGUGUUUGUCAGAUUUCCAGAGCCUGGCUAUUAAUUUUUGGGCAGUCAAUAGAAUAUGGCAUAU